UCCAUGUCUGAGGACUGCAGGGGACUCCAGGAAGGAAAUUCUUAGAGAGCAGCUUAGAAUUCUGAAUAGCACUUGCUUCCAACCUGGACCAGAUCAGUGUUUUUCUAAAGUCAUUAGUCCGUGGUAUGGAAGUUAUCAUCACAUUCCCUUGUCAGGGUUCAGAGGAUGAAACCAUCUUCCUCUGUCGUGUGAGGGUGCGAGCGCUGACAGAUCAGCAGCCACCAAGGAAAGCAGGGAUUUCAAACCAGGACACCUUGUGAUGGGUGCAAUGUGGAGGAAGGGAGGUGCUUGUGAGUCAGUAAACUGUGAUGAGAUCUAAACUUGUGGAUGCUCCCACAUGGUGCUUCUGCAUACCAAACCCAGCAAAGAACACGGGAACUUGGAGCCGCGAUGGUUUCAAGUAAAGCCUUCAUUUCUCAGCAACUUGGCUUUACAUAAUAAAUCCUUUGAGAAUGAAAAACAAAAUUUCUAAAAAUGGAAGCAGAUGUAAUAGAAGGGACGCACAGUAAUCAAUACAGCUGUUCUAGGGUCUUCAAUCCAGAGGUUAGUGGUCCUGUCCAUGUGCAAACUUGUAUCUCUCAUGGGAUAAGCAGGAAGAGACAACAUAAAACCUACCGUCCAGUAGAGUGUCGAAGUGUAGAGUUUGCAAGUACUCCUUCUCCCGCAUAAAGCCUUUGAGGGGAGUGGCCCAGCCUUCACUCAGAAUCUGCACCCACUGCAGAUCCAGCUGGAAAACACAGAAAACAAGGGGGUGUGUCCAUGGCGGCUCUCUCUCAGCCGUCAGGCCCCAGGGUAGGUCUCCAUCUCUUUAACUCAGUUGGCAGGAGGAUGACGGAAGGAUGUCUGUGUCCUAAGUGUUCCCACAUGCUCUAUGAACCUCUCAUUCAGGAGCCAGCUAUGUGUAUACAGGGUUAGAACGCUCCUAUAAAAGAGCGAUCACAUGACUCCCAAUUGAGAUUAUUUAAAUACUUUCAGCUCUAACUGUUUCCAUAAUAGGAAAGAAAAUUAAAAAUUCACUGGUUCCCCCCUCCCCCAAAUAUUGGCUGUCUUGCCCUUUUCAUUAGACGCAGUUACUGAUCCUUUGCCUGACCUGAGCAAGCCACAGACUCUAAGAUAAAGGUCAAUGUUAUCAUGGUAUGAAAACCCUUUAAGCUCUGGCCCUAGGAGUCACAGAGGAUGCCCAUCUCCUUUUGCUCCCCAAUUGGGACCAAUUUACCAAUGUUCCAAGGAAAUGUGUGGUGGAAACACACAGCCACUUCCAGCUGAGAGGAUGAUAGAGGCUAUGCUUCGUCCUCUUGACCACCCUUGAAGCUCUAUGGACUGCUUCAAAACUUAGCACACAGGUCACUGCUCUGAAACCUUUCCUGUCAUCCGUGUGACCCGAAGAACCACCCAUUAGGUCCUGAGGUUCUCUGCCCCUCAGACCACUCAGAUGCAGGAACUCAGAGCACUCACUUUGAUGUGCUCACUUGUCUGCCCAGAGGAUGGAGGCACUUGGGUUCAUUAUACAAAGUCAGAGGUCUCCAUUCAUAAAUCAUUUGUGAGGUCCUAAUUACCAAAAUCAAGUACCCUAUUAACCCGUCUCAUUAAAUCUCCAAAUUUAUAAUGAAC
rnacentral:lncRNA from 1 species